rnacentral:rRNA from 1 species
GACAGAGGUGCCAAGCGUUAGGCGGAAUCACUGGGCUUAAAGCGUGUGUAGGCGGGCGAUCAAGUACCUUGUGAAAUCCCACGGCUCACCCGUGGAACGGCUGGGCAUACUGGCGAUCUUGGGCCAACUAGGGGCAACUGGGAACAAGCGGUGGAGCGGUGAAAUGACGUAGAUAUCGCUUGGAACGCCGAAGGUGAAACAGGUGCUGGGGUUGUGCCGACGCUGAGACACGAAAGCCAGGGGAGCAAACGGG